rnacentral:tRNA from 1 species
AGGCGUGUAGCUCAGUGGUAGAGCAUUUGCUUGACGUGCAAAGGGUCAGGAGUUCGAGCCUCCUCAUGCCUA